UCGUUAGAGGGAUGGAGAGCAUCGCGUGUUUGAGUCUUGUGACACUUCCAUAAUGUUUCCACGCCUGUUCUGCCCUUCCCUUCCAG
ensembl:miRNA Mir7039 microRNA 7039